CCCGUCUGCUCUCUGUGUGGUCUAAGCCAUGCGAGUUGAAUGAGACACCUAAUCGUCUCAUAGCAAAGUGCUCAGUAACACAUGAUCAACGAGCCUAUGAAGGGAACUAACCUCGUGAAUCUGAGGAUAAUGUCUCAUAGCUGAUUCGGCUUGGAAAAGUGUUUCAGUGAAAGGGUCAUAGAAAAUGGUUUAUGUCUGUCAUAGGAUGGGAUUGUGGUCGAUUAGGUAGUUGGUGAGAUAAAGGCUCACCAAGCCGAUAAUCGAUAGGGGCCGUGAGAGCGGGAGCCUCGAGAUGGGUACUGAGACAGCGACCCAGGCCCUACGGGGCGCAGCAGGCGCGAAACCUCCGCAAUACACGCAAGUCUGACGGGGCUACCCAAAGUGCUCCAUAUAGGAGCUGUGGUAGAUGAGUAAUGUUCUUUACUAGAAAGGAGAGGGCAAGGCUGGUGCCAGCCGCCGCGGUAAAACCAGCUCUUCAAGUGGUCGGGAUAAUUAUUGGGCUUAAAGUGUCCGUAGCUGGUAAGGUAAGUUCCUGGUAAAAUGGGGCAGCUUAACUGUCUUUAUGCUAGGAAUACUGCUUUACUAGAGGGCGGGAGAGGUUUGAGGUACUACAGGGGUAGGGGUGAAAUCUUAUAAUCCUUGUAGGACCACCAGUGGCGAAGGCGUCAGACUGGAACGCGCCUGACAGUGAGGGACGAAACCCAGGGGAGCGAACCGGAUUAGAUACCCGGGUAGUCCUGGCCGUAAACAAUGCACACUAGAUGAUGGUGCGGCCAUGAGCCGUAUCAGUGUCGUAGGGAAACCGUUAAGUGUGCCGCCUGGGAAGUACGGUCGCAAGGCUUAAACUUAAAGGAGUUGGCGGGGGAGCUCCACAAGGGGUGAAGCCUGCGGUUC
rnacentral:rRNA from 1 species